AAUGGGCGAGAAUACAAACUUGUCGUUCAAUUAGUCUCAUUGAAUGGCUGCACGAUCGACGAAUGUGUUUUCCGCGAGUUCGACUCUCGUCUUUCGCCACUGAUAUUUCCUGCAUUCAGAGUUAACAUUUUGUUGAUUAUUCAUCCUAAAUAAUUGCUAUCAUCUCGAUUAAUCUGCUCGUCGUUUUUUGGCUUAUUUCACCCGUUGAAUUAUCAGCUCAGCGGCUCAAUGCUCCGCUGAAUUAAUUCCAUUUUUUUUGUUAACGUUCCUCGAACGGAUAAAUUGAAAAUUACUUUCACACUCGCUCCGCUCAUUUACUCAGCCCUCGCUAACGAGGGGGGAAGAUCGAUUAAUUUUAUUUAUACGAGAAAUCACUAAUGGUUUUAAUCUCAAACCGAUUUAAUCACACAUCGAUGGAUAUUAAAUAAAUCGUCGCGGAAUAUUUUGCACGAAUAUCCCUCGCGGCUUAUCGCACGAUCACCAACACUCUUUUGCAGUUAACUCUCGCGGAGAAAACAACCGCAACCAGCUUGGCUGCGAAUCAGAAACGUACUACUCGCGCGCUUCUCGCUUUCGUGUUAACACCAGGGACACGGGGAGAUCUCCGGUGUUCGGGGGGUCGACAUCACAUCGGACACUAAUAUAUCUCUGUGCACGACUUUGCUCUCGAAAGAAGAUGAAACCUCGUCUAUUUUCAUGGAUCCACGAGAGAACAGUGUCUCCCGAGGCGACUCAAGAGAUUACGAUGACAAACGAAUCAUCGAGAAAUCGCCGGGAGCUCGCAAGUCGCUCGCGGAUCAAUUUUUCGUUUUUCCAUUCAUUUUUUUCUCGGUUGUAAAAGACUUUGCUCGUGGGCACGCUUGCCUGGUGCAGAUGCGACUUUCGGACCGGUCGCGAAUGCAUCGCAGUCGUUGAUUCGAAGGCGAGAAAACAAAACAAGGUUGAAAAUCGAGUUCGCACCGAGUGCCAAGUUCGAAAGAAUUAAUCGUGUCAGUUUCCCCCCGCUCGAUGGCCGGAUUGGACAAGGAUUUUGAGAGAUAUUCUCUCCGGAGGAAGAGGAAGAAAAGGAGGAGGAAAGAGAAAUUUAUUUGCGGAUUUGUUACGAGGCUGGUCGCGUUCGUUGUCGUCGAAAUGCUCCGGUGGACUCCGAGCUCGGGCAACGCGAUUUAAAUUUGGUUCUACGAACUCGUUCGCCUCAGUCCUUGAAAUAUUUCACAGAUAAAUUUCUCGAAUGGACGUUUUCAUUGAGGUUUCAAGACCCUUAGCUAAUCAGCUGUCAAAUACACGAUUUUUGAGAUUUUCAUGUAACUGAGUCAGUCACUUUGACUCCCGACUGAUUGUUGACUCACAAAUGGCCUCGGAGAUGUCGAAUCGUUGGGUAAUUUGACUACAAGAUCGAAGCAAAGUUAGAAGACACUUUAACCAGUGAGAGCAAGUUCAAUUGAGUGAUUGUGGAAUGAAAUUUUCCAUUUGACACAUUGGGAAGGUGUUUUCAUCUCGUUUCUACUUCGAAUAGUAUCUCGAUCGACGGCAUCUUCAAAAUCUACAAUUUCAUCUGACAACGGACCUUCCUCCACGCGCGUGCUUAAUGAUAACGAUUUUUUUUACUUCCCGUACGAAUGGGAACGCUUCCCUGACAUUUCCAAUUGAAAAAUGUAUUCCUGUAAGAGGAUCCCAAGAAACUGCAUUCACCUGUCGAGCAAUUCACGCAUAUUCCUUUUCGAUCGACCCGCCCAAAGAUCAGCAUGUUUUAUUGACAUUCCGCCGGCGCAGUCGUCCUUUCCACGCUUCAAACCUGUGGCACUCUCCUUGAGAAUUUCGAGACGUGGGCCGAGAAUCAUUGAAAAGCAGCUCGUGAUCCGGGAGAUACCGACUCGAGUAGCAUUGGCAAAGCUGCUUAUACACUUCGAUGCUCCGCGGAUGCUUUUGAUAGGGAGCUUCCUUCCGCUGUAGAAAUUCGGCGCUGACUGGCAGACGUCGCAUCUUCCUCUUCAUAAGCCCUCCGCAUUUGCUCUUUACUGAGGCUUUUAUUGGGAGCCUCGAAUAUCUUAACACUGGCGAAACGCUCUGCGUAACUCACCGAUUCUCAAAUCACAAGAAACUUUCAUAUCCUCCGGAGAACGUCUCUGCUGUAUCGAAACAGCGAUUGCUCGAAUCCUUUCUACGAAGUCGAUCGACUUUAUUAUCCGGGAUUGGGCCCGCUCGGUGCGAGUGCAAUCCAGCAGUUUCAUCUUUGGAAAGAAGACUUCGAAGCGGAGCGCAUUCAGGUCAGCACAGUGUCAACUGCGAUAAUUCGCCGAUAGAUGCGAGCAAAAGAGUUCGUUGAUUUCGGCAGCCCUGAGAGGAGAGUAACGCCGAGUAAAAACGAAAGCGCUCGAGCAUUGAUUCGACACAAGAACUCAGUGAAAAUCUCGACGCGAGUUCCGGGUAAAACUCUGCAACUUCACUAGCAACAGCACGGGCCAAAGUGACUUCAGCGUUAUGUUUAUUGAACGUGAAAACUCGGCCCCGCCGAAUGUACAUGCUCUCGGACAGCGUACGGUUUUGAGAGAAGCUACGAAAGCCGCGAGCUUUUCAUCACUUUCGGGGAGAGAGUAGCAGAGCGUAACCAGCGCUCUCCCUCGCAGCAGCGACGUCAAAACAGUUGCAUAUUCAUGAGUGAGCCAGUUGACGUUGACAUACCCGCAGAGCGAUGCUACUGGCUUCGUGCAAACGCUCGCAAUAUUUGAGAGGCGUGUGCGAGCCUCGUGCGGCUCUCGGCAGACAAAAGUAUAUCACAGGACGGAUGUAAUACCCGACCUGAGGCGGGCCGCCCCGACCCUUGUGCGAAGCUAUCACACACCCCACGAUUUGUAAGCUCCGAUGUCUUCUCUUACGAAAUCCGUUGAAAUACCGCGACGGAAUCAACGACGACAUUUCACAUUUCUUCGACUUUCGGACGCUCUUUUUCGAAGCAGUUUCGUUUCGAAGUACAUCCUGGCGUGAAUGACGCCGAAGUUUGCCACGUCUGAGUCCAGCGAAAUGAACGAGAACAAAUAGCUUAACGCUCCAAUUUUUUCCCUUCGACGAUUUUUUGGAGUUCGCGAAAAAGCGGAAAUUCAUAACGAAAGUAGCUGGCUAAGAGACCCAGGCAACGAAGAUACGCACGGGAGAGUUAAGGGGGAAUAUCAGUGCGAAAAAAAGAGCUUGGGCGCAAAAGGGCUUCUGUAUGGUCCAGCAGGGAUAGCAAACCAAUCGCUCGUAAAGAUUCCUUCGGAGCUCCGUUAAAAAUUGUGACAUCGCGUGAGCUUUGAACCUCGCCCAUCGGUGGUACGCUGCACCGAAAAACCAGCGGAAAAAUGUCUGGUUACGUGUCGGAAGAUAUUCAUCAGCGAAGGGAGAAAAAGCUAUGGAAAAGGGUGGUGCUGCUGGCAAGGGCGAUUGCGGGGCUCACGGAGCUCGAGUGGCCAUAAAAUUAUUUCAAUAAAUGAGAAACCUCCUGCGCGGAGUUGGGAUUUUAA
rnacentral:lncRNA from 1 species